GAUGAACGCUGGCGGCGUGCUUAACACAUGCAAGUCGAACGAGAAGUGGAGACGGACACCUUCGGGCGGAAGACUUUAUUUCGAGUGGCGGACGGGUGAGUAACGCGUGGGUAACCUGCCUCAUACAGGGGGAUAACAGUUGGAAACGACUGUUAAUACCGCAUAAGACCACAGCACCGCAUGGUGCGGGGGUAAAAACUCCGGUGGUAUGAGAUGGACCCGCGUUCGAUUAGCCAGUUGGCGGGGUAACGGCCCACCAAAGCGACGGUCGAUAGCCGAUCUGAGAGGAUGACCGGCCACAUUGGGACUGAGACACGGCCCAAACUCCUACGGGAGGCAGCAGUGGGGAAUAUUGCACAAUGGGGGAAACCCUGAUGCAGCGACGCCGCGUGAGUGAAGAAGUAUUUCGGUAUGUAAAGCUCUAUCAGCAGGGAAGAAAAUGACGGUACCUGAGUAAGAAGCCCCGGCUAACUACGUG
rnacentral:rRNA from 1 species